GAAGGAAUUGUUGCUUACGCUUAGGUAGGUAGAGAUUUAUAUAAAAUAAUGGCAGAGAAAAAAAAACAGUAACGAAAAGGUCCAAGUUUGCGGGAAAAUUGAGAAUUUUCUCGAGAAAGAGGCAGGCGGUCAACUAAAGGAAGAGAAGAGACGUGAGUCGUGCGGGAUCCGAGACUGAGUCAGUCACACGGUUUUUCGCAAUCCCUCUCUCUCUGCAAAGAGAAGAGAAGAGAGGAGGUGG
rnacentral:misc_RNA from 1 species